rnacentral:rRNA from 1 species
CCUACGGGGCGCUGCAGUGGGGAAUAUUGGACAAUGGGGGCAACCCUGAUCCAGCCAUGCCGCGUGUGUGAAGAAGGCCCUCGGGUUGUAAAGCACUUUCAGUGAGGAAGAACGCCUGGUGGUUAAUACCCAUCAGGAAAGACAUCACUCACAGAAGAAGCACCGGCUAACUCCGUGCCAGCAGCCGCGGUAAUACGGAGGGUGCGAGCGUUAAUCGGAAUUACUGGGCGUAAAGCGCGCGUAGGUGGCUUGAUAAGCCGGUUGUGAAAGCCCCGGGCUCAACCUGGGAACGGCAUCCGGAACUGUCAAGCUAGAGUGCAGGAGAGGAAGGUAGAAUUCCCGGUGUAGCGGUGAAAUGCGUAGAGAUCGGGAGGAAUACCAGUGGCGAAGGCGGCCUUCUGGACUGACACUGACACUGAGGUGCGAAAGCGUGGGUAGCAAACAGGAUUAGAUACCCCAGUAGGC